GCCCUCGUGGCGUAAUGGUUAACGUUUCAGACUUCUAAGCCACGUGAUCCUAGAUUACGUUCUCUGAUAUCUGACUAUCCCGGUUCGAGUCCGGGCGGGGGUG
rnacentral:tRNA from 2 species